AUGAGGAAAGUACAAAGGACUGCAAAGCAUAACACGCAUGCACACAAGAGCAGUGCAGGCUACGGUAGGAGUCGUGUUUUGGCCAGCCAUGCCUGUUGCCGUGGCAGCAGCAGCAAGACAGGAAGUGUGUGUGUGAGUACGCCCAGUCCGGUGGUUUCCGCGGGGAUGAACAUGCCACUGCACCAGAUCUCUGUCAUCCCCCGUGAUGUCCCUUCCUCCCGGGUCAGCAGCAGCGGAAAGGCCAAGGACAAAGACAAACCGGUAGGGUCAAAGGUCAUGGUCUUCUUGUGGGGCGUUUUGGACGAGGACGUUGUUUGGUACAACAUUCUUUUGGCAGUAUGGAACACUUUUUUAAAACCAAAUAGCAGGACUCAUUGUGACCCACACUGUCAUGUGUUGAUACUGCAGGAGACACGUGUGUGUAUGUAGAGAACUGCUCAGUUCACUAAAUGCUGUUUGACUGAGGCCCCAUCACAGUAGAGGCCUCACUGCUGAGCUGAAUUGGACAAGGACAAACUUUCAGUUUGCAAAUGGUUUCGUGCUGACUCGUGCUGAGUCAGAAGGUCAAAGGAGGAUGAGAGUGUGUGUGUGUGUUAGGCUUAGAAUAUAUAUAGCGGAUACCGGUGUAUUUAGACAUACCAACAGUAUGAUUUUCAACACCCAGGGGUUGGGGGCCCCUCCCCUUGCGGGGACCGCGGAGAUGCUUGCUAUGCCACUACUACUAAUAAGUUAACUAUCUUAGAUGUGCCAAUUAAAUUAUAUCCAGCUCUGGGCACCAACUAUGCAUUUGGUUUGCUAACUACGUGGCUAGAUGGUAAGAUCAAGCUUCUUGGUUACAGCAGAGACGAUCAUGAUCCAUGUUGCCUAAAUUGUUUUGUGUGUCUUUUUAACUAAAUAGCGCUCCUUGUGUGCACUUCCAGUAAUAAUGUAAACACUGGUAUGGUACAGUAUGACAGUAAGAACAUCUGGAUACCAACCCUAGUGUGUGUAUACAGGCUCCACUGCUGAGCUGAGGUGGUUUAAUAGGGAGAAGCUUUCAGUUUGUGGACGGUUUCGUGCUACUAUGCUGAGUCAUAAAGUCACAGAAGGAUGUGUGUGUGUUGUCGUGGAAAUUCUGUAUUUACCAAAUUAUGAGAGCAAACCACACACAAGUCAGAGUUAGUUAUCACAAAGUCCAUCUUUAAUUAUAUGAGCUCCAUCACAACCCUGUGACUCUCAGAUCAAUUCAGUGUCUAUAAAUUAAUUCUCUGAGAGUCCCUUACACAUUGUUACUGAGAUCCUUUAUAGCAAAGACACACAUAGCCAGACAGCGUCGGCAUAAUUCAUCGUUCAGCUUUGUCUCCUAAACUAUGUUCUUUUCUCAAACUCAGAACCAUAAACCAAUCCUCCAUAUCAACAGGCAUAUAUCAAAUCCAUCCUAUCUUGACAAGAUCACAGAGACACAUUGACUGGCACACAGACAUUGUGGAGCCAAGAGAUACACGCUUGACCUCUCCCCUCUCUCCGGCCCAAAUAAGUUAGUCCUGACAGAGAACAGAUACUGCAACCCCGCCACAGUAUUAUACAAAAAUAACAUUCUGAUGAGAAGUAACUUACAAACAUAUGAUGAAUAUAAAACAUCUUACCUAUGUUACCAACUAAUUCAGAUUAUUCCCCAACAGUGUGUGUGUGUGUGUGUGUGUGUUGGAAUGUGGGGAAUGUGUAACCAACGGUUAUGGAAACAGACCGUCAUGAAAAUAAAAUAACCGUCUUAACUGUUUAUUUAUAAAAAAUAAAAAUAUAUAUAUCAAAUUUUUGCGCACCGUUCUUGUGAUCAUUUUGACCCCACGGGGUGAUAUCUUGUGUGGAGCCCCAGAUCGAGGGAGAUUAUCAGUGGUCUUGUAUGUCUUCCAUUUCCUAAUAAUUGCUCCCACAGUUGAUUUCUUCAAACCAAGCUGCUUACCUAUUGCAGAUUCAUUCUUCCCAGCCUGGUGCAGGUCUACAAUUUUGUUUCUGGUGUCCUUUGACAGCUCUUUGGUCUUGGCCAUAGUGGAGUUUGGAGUGUGACUGUUUGAGGUUGUGGACAGGUGUCUUUUAUACUGAUAACAAGUUCAAACAGGUGCCAUUAAUACAGGUAACGAGUGGAGGACAGGGAGCCUCUUAAAGAAGAAGUUACAGGUCUGUGAGAGCCAGAAAUCUUGCUUGUUUGUAGGUGACCAAAUACUUAUUUUCCACCAUAAUUUGCAAAUCAAUUCAUUAAAAAUCCUACAAUGUGAUUUUCUGGAUUUUUUUUUCUAAUUUUGUCUGUCANNNNNNNNNNCCUCUACUUCCAGACAGCACUGGAUUAGUGAUGCACCACUACCCCUCUUCCUGUCUGUCUUCUUCUUCCUGUCUUCCACCUUUUCCCUCCCUCCCCAAAUAGAGUCCUGGCACUACGGUGAUGGUAGAUGCCCUCCAACAGUUUUGCCCAGUGCCCUUGACCUGGACGCUGUAUUUCACAGGGUUCGCCUAAGACGUCAAUAUGACAUAUUCCUCUCUCCCUUACUAGUAGCCUACAUCUCCAGUGUUGACACACACACACACACACACACACACACACACACACACACACACACACACACACACACACACACACACACACACACNNNNNNNNNNNNNNNNNNNNNNNNNNNNNNNNNNNNNNNNCAUGCCCGAGUCUAUGCAUAUCAUUACAGACAGAGAGAGGGAGAGAGACAUGGCUCUAUUGCAGGGUUGGGGUCAAUUCCAUUUCAAUUCCAGUCAAUUCUGGAAGUGCCUUGAAAUUCCAAUUUCAAUUUUCUUCAAUGAAUUGGAAUUUAAAUUUGGAUUACUUUCUGGAUUUCCCAACCCUGCAGUAUUGUCUAGUCUAGGACCACAGCCCAUAUGUUUAAAUGAACCUACAGUAUGCCUACAGAGCAGAAAGUAUGUGAUUAUAUAGUAUCAUGUGUCUGUGUCUCAUAGAAAAUGUGAGUACAAUGUAGUGAAAUGAGAUGUCAUCUUAUACCCAGUUGUAAGGCAUUAAUCCACUCUUCCUAGUCUGUGUUAAACAGGAUGGAUAUUAACUGUGUUAAACAGGAUGGAUAUUAACUGUGUUAAAACAGGAUGGAUAUUAACUGUGUUAAAACAGGAUGGAUAUUAACUGUGUUAAAACAGGAUGGAUAUUAACUGUGUUAAAACAGGAUGGAUAUNNNNNNNNNNGACAAACAAAGGAAACAGAAUAUUUCCACAAACAUAGAAAAGCUGAAUAUUUCUCCCUAUCAUUUAAGGUUGUUUUGAUCAUAAAGCCUUGAUGCGUGAGAUGCAUUCUAAUGUCAGGAAGGUGACACUUUCCUCCCUUUCUGGUCCCCUCGCGUCUCUUCUGGUCACAUGCUGCUGUUUAAGGAAGAUGAUUGGAGGCUGACACUAAUGAGAACGCUCUCACCAGGAAGUGUCACAACGCCGAGUUCUACUCCAGCUGCUCUCUAUUCAUCUGACUACGUGUUCUGUCAUAGUCUGACAGCAUCUGGUCGUCAUGGUGUUAGCACAGGGCUGCUCAUUUCUCCUAACUGGAAAUUUUCAAUUUUCACCCUGACUCACCUGUCCAUCUCCUCAGUUGAAUUACAUGCAGUCACUGUUGGUGGCAGUGUGUGUGUGUGGGUGUGUGUGCGUGCGUGAGUGUGAAGGGCUGUACCUACACACUGAAAAAAGGCUAUAAAGCCUAAACAUCUGAUGCAGUAAAAAAUGUAAAACAUUGAAUAAUGGCUUAAGCUUUAAUGCAACAUAUUUUUAGUGCGAACACAUUGCACCUCUUUGUAUAUGUGAAGGACUCAGUAGCUGUCAGCUGUAGAUCUGCUGAACAAAGUGUGGUGCUAAGACAACAUGUCUGUCUGGUGUCUGUCCUCUUACUCAUGCAAUACUCUGUCUAACACGGUCUAUUGUCUUUUAGGGUCUGAGUACCUCAGCAUGUCCACACAGGUGUUCACAAGGGCCCACUCGACCUGUACAUAUGGUGGAGUGGAUUUAGCCUGAUUUAGCCGUACAAACACACACACUGCUGUGCCUGUGAAACUUCCCCAUCAUGGUCACUCCCGACACAGCAUGUUCACAUACACAGUUUCCAGGAUAAAAGGUGCAGUGAAAUACUUGCUAGCUCCCUCAACAUUGCAGUACAAUAAUCAAUAUCAAUAACACAAAAAGUCAAAUAAAAAACAACAGAUAGUUAGACAGUAGUAUGCAAAGUAAUAAACUGAUAUUUCCACAAUGGGAUAUACAGUAUAUAUUCUAAAUAUGCCAUGUCAAGUAUGGCUGUAUUUACAAAUUUAAAGUGGAUGUUGUCAUGGUUGCACAGUUAAAUCAAUAGUAUAUAAUAGAACAGCAGUGUUGACUGUGUGUGUGUGCGUGUGCUUGUGUGUGAGUAUGCAUGUGUGUAAAGGUUGGAUGUGUGGAGAGCCCGUGUAAAUAGUCUCUUGGUGCAGAUAGUCUUUAAGGUGCACAUAGUCUCUAACGUGCUGUUCUAAGUAGGUAAACAGUUAGGCUUAGCUG
rnacentral:lncRNA from 13 species